rnacentral:lncRNA from 1 species
CUACUACAUGCUGUUGAGUAUUGACUUAAAUACUGGUAUAGUUGGAGGUUGAUUUUUUUUUAUUUUUAGUGUGUGUAAAUUUUUUCAUGUUAUGUUUAAGUUUAACAAUGUAGGAAGAAAAUAAUGUUUUGUGUCCUCUCAGGACUAUACGAACGUGAAGCAUGGAGUUGAAUAGGAGCAUCAAGAAAGUGAAGUCUGCUUGCGGAGAAAGGGCCUGGGGUCUGCUGAAGCAGAGAGAGCCAUGUGGGAGUGAUUCAUUAAGCUGCAGUUUGCACACUGCACAUUGUGAGGGGUGAAAUGGACUAGAUGGAGCCCUAUUUGGGGAAAAGAUCUGAAUAGGAUUCUGCUAAAUGGGUCCCAUCAACUGCUUUAAAGGCAUGAAACUGGUGAGCAGGUGAAAUGCAGGAAUGCAGAGCUAUGGCCUUCACUCCAGCUUUGCUCUCAGGCUAUCUCUGUCCUCACAUGGAUAAAAUCAAAGCUAUUGAAAAUGUGGUUGAAGAGAAAGCGUCAUGCAUUAAGACAAAAAGGUUGCCUAAGAAAAUGUGUUUGUGACCCCGAAGAAUGUAUAAUUGAUGUGUGUGGUUGUCUGGAUGGUAGAAUAACAAUAGCAACCAUUAGAGAUGAGAGCUGGAACAAGUCAGGCAGUGAGGCAGGAUGUAUUUUAUAGGUCAUCUGGGCUCCAUUCAGAUCUACAGGUUGCUAUUUCUUCUCCAUACUUGAAAGCAUUUAAUGGAUUAUUAUAAAAGGAAAAGGAUGGUAUGCAAUAAUGGUUUAAAUUGAAGCUGUGUGUAUAUAUCACCACUGUGCGACUUCUAAAUGAAUGCUUCAUUUUUAAAAUUCUCCCAUGGCAUACUUGAAAGUUUGCCAGAGCAUCAAGGAAUUAAAACAAUGAAUUCACCGGCAGAAAGAGUAAAGGACACUUAAUAGUACCAUUUUUCUCUUUCAUGACAUGGAC